ACACCACCCACGCACUGGAAGUCUGGAACACACACAUUGGAACACACACACUGGAACACAUACACACCCACCCACGCCCUGGAACACACACACCACGCCCCCCACGCACUGGAACACACACACUGGAACACGAAGUGAACACCACACACACUGACACACCCACAGCCCCCUGCCGACCAGCAACAUAAUCGCCCACACCCACCCACAAGCCACAGCCUCCCUCUCUCGCAUCCCACUAUCGACGGAAACAAGCGACAGUUAUACAGCCCACUCCAACCGAGGCUACUCCGUGAGAAUGGUGACCCGAUCUACUGAUCUACUGCUACCAAGUACCGGACCUGCUGCGCCACCUCCACGCCUCCAAUCCUCCGCCAUCACCCGAUCCGAUUCAAGCUCCAUUUGGCUGUUGAGUUUUGAAAGCUUUGGGUUGUUGCUGUAAAUGUGUAGAUCGUGUGUGUAAAUGGGUAGAUUGUGUGUGUAUUUUUUAUAUCCGACCCGAUCCGAUCCGAUCCGAAUUAUAUUAGGAUCGGGUCGGAUCGGGUUAUAGAUUCGGAUUGAAUUCGGAUGAGUUCUCAUCUAACCCGACCAACCCGAAACCCGAUCGGGUUGAUCCGAAUCCGAACCGAACCCGAUUUUGCCCACCCCUACGUGGUAGAUAUAGGUUGUCGUAGGAACAUGUGAUAGCACUGCCACAAAUUUAUCACAGAGGCUACAAUGACAUAAAGAUUUUGUCAUAAAAAGGGUCAAAUGAUAGAUAUUCCGCACGAGAGAGGCUUCCGUCACCAACGCCACUUUCUGUUGCACUAGCCACCUACCACAACGAUACACUAUUAAAAUUUUACAUUUUAUUGAAUUCAAUUAGUCAUUUUGAAUUUCUUAUUAUAAUGCCAAAUUAGAACCCAACAAUUUCAACAGAUCAAAAUGAUGCUUCUCGUGUACUUAUACCUUAGAGAUCAGUUUAUUUAUUUAUUUUUUUUUGUACGAAUAGGCUUUCUUGCUGUUUUUCUAUUGUCUUUGAGUGAAUCUGCAUUCUUGCAUUUGUUGAAAUUUCAUUGGAUGACACUUCAAUUUAAUCUCUUGCACUUGGAGAGAAUUAAAAUUGCUUUGAUAGGAACAUAAAUUUCAUCCUCCAUAAUUUGAAUUUGAAAUAACAAUAAAUUAAAGAACGAUGUUAAUUUCGA
rnacentral:lncRNA from 1 species